rnacentral:rRNA from 1 species
GGGGGAAUAUUGGGCAAGGGGACGAAAGUCUGACCCAGCGACGCCGCGUGAGGGAAGAAGGUCUUCGGAUUGUAAACCUCUUUUGUCGGGGAGUAACGUGCGGGACGGGUCCCGUAUUGAGAGUACCCGAAGAAAAAGCAUCGGCUAACUCCGUGCCAGCAGCCGCGGUAAUACGGAGGAUGCGAGCGUUAUCCGGAUUUAUUGGGUUUAAAGGGUGCGCAGGCGGCGCGCCAAGUCAGCGGUCAAAGUUCCGGGCUCAACCCGGUGUCGCCGUUGAAACUGGCGUGCUCGAGUGCGUGCGAGGAAGGCGGAAUGCGUUGUGUAGCGGUGAAAUGCAUAGAUAUGACGCAGAACUCCGAUUGCGAAGGCAGCUUUCCAGCGCGCUACUGACGCUGAGGCACGAAAGCGUGGGGAUCGAACAGGAUUAGAUACCCUGGUAGU